GUUUGACAUCAGAAAUGUUACAUGCUAUGUGAGAUUUCUCCAUCUAUUGUCAUUGCAAAUGAAGAAACCUUCCGACACCAUACCCCAUAUCAAUCUUCUUGGAAAAAUGUGAAUUUUUAAUUAGAGCAUCUACAUGUGACCAUGCCCUGAGUUAAUAACUCGUAAGUGGACCUCAGCCCCUAUUGUGUUGAAGGAUUUGCAGGCUAGAAUUAUAUAUUUGUUAGUAAGAUAAGAUUGAUCUGAUUAAACAUGGACAAUGCAUGGGGUUGGUCCAUCAAAAAAACUUCUACUGGAGUAUUAGCAAAUCAAACCUUUUAGCUCACAUAAGACCCUCAUCUGCCCCCAUUUGUAAGGACAAACCUUAGCCAUAUCAGCAAUCAGCUUGAAGGUGAAGUUUAUAUCUCUGCCUG
rnacentral:misc_RNA from 1 species